rnacentral:rRNA from 1 species
UGGGCAACCUGCCCUUCUCAUCGGAAUAAGCGUUGGAAACGACGUCUAAUGCCGAAUACGACGUCCUUUCGCAUGAUCGGAGGUGGAAAGCUCCGGCGGAGAAGGAUGAGCUCGCGGCCUAUCAGCUAGUUGGUGUGGGUAACGGCCCACCAAGGCGACGACGGGUAGCCGGCCUGAGAGGGUGACCGGCCACACUGGGACUGAGACACGGCCCAGACUCCUACGGGGAGCAGNAGU